GAGAGUUGGCAGAGUGGUCGAAUGCGGUGGUCUUGAAAACCAUUGUGCGGCAACGUACCGGGGGUUCGAAUCCCUCACUCUCC
rnacentral:tRNA from 1 species